rnacentral:rRNA from 1 species
UGGGGAAUAUUGCACAAUGGGCGCAAGCCUGAUGCAGCAACGCCGCGUGAACGAUGAAGGUCUUCGGAUCGUAAAGUUCUGUUGCAGGGGAAGAUAAUGACGGUACCCUGUGAGGAAGCCCCGGCUAACUACGUGCCAGCAGCCGCGGUAAUACGUAGGGGGCUAGCGUUAUCCGGAUUUACUGGGUGUAAAGGGAGCGCAGACGGCUGUGCAAGUCUGAAGUGAAAGCCCGCGGCUCAACUGCGGGAUUGCUUUGGAAACUGUGCGGCUUGAGUAUCGGAGAGGUAAGCGGAAUUCCAAGUGUAGCGGUGAAAUGCGUAGAUAUUUGGAGGAACACCGGUGGCGAAGGCGGCUUACUGGACGAAAACUGACGUUGAGGCUCGAAGGCGUGGGGAGCAAACAGG